rnacentral:rRNA from 1 species
AGAGUUUGAUCAUGGCUCAGAUUGAACGCUGGCGGCAUGCCUUACACAUGCAAGUCGAACGGCAGCACGGGAGCAAUCCUGGUGGCGAGUGGCGAACGGGUGAGUGAUAUAUCGGAACGUGCCCAGUAGUGGGGGAUAGCCCGGCGAAAGCCGGAUUAAUACUGCAUACGACCUGUGGGUGAAAGCGGGGGAUCGCAAGACCUCGCGCUAUUGGAGCGGCCGAUAUCAGAUUAGCUUGUUGGUGGGGUAAAAGCCCACCAAGGCGACGAUCUGUAGCUGGUCUGAGAGGACGACCAGCCACACUGGGACUGAGACACGGCCCAGACUCCUACGGGAGGCAGCAGUGGGGAAUUUUGGACAAUGGGCGCAAGCCUGAUCCAGCCAUGCCGCGUGUGGGAAGAAGGCCUUCGGGUUGUAAACCACUUUUGUCAGGGAAGAAACGGUUUGACUUAAUACGUUGAACUAAUGACGGUACCUGAAGAAUAAGCACCGGCUAACUACGUGCCAGCAGCCGCGGUAAUACGUAGGGUGCAAGCGUUAAUCGGAAUUACUGGGCGUAAAGCGUGCGCAGGCGGCUUUGCAAGACAGAUGUGAAAUCCCCGGGCUCAACCUGGGAACU